GAGUUUGAUCGUGGCUCAGAGUGAACGCUGGCGGCGUGCUUAACACAUGCAAGUCGAACGGAUGAAAUAAGCUUGCUUAUUUCGUUAGUGGCGCACGGGUGAGUAAUGUAUAGCUAACCUGUCCCUUUAGGUGGGGGACAACAGUUGGAAACGACUGCUAAUACCCCAUAUUCCUUCUUAUCACAAGGUAAGUUGGGAAAGAUUUAUUGCUAAAGGAUAGGGGCUUUAUGGUAUCAGCUAGUUGGUGGGGUAACGG
rnacentral:rRNA from 1 species